CCGACACCGCCCCUUCCCCGGACCAGACCCCCUCCGCUCCCGGGGGGGCCCCCUGGACUCCAGGAGCCCCACUCCUUCCUCUUCAGUGCGAGUGAGCACGAGCCUGGACUUUCGGGGACUCCCUUCCCCUAGCCUCGCAGAGACCUUCAGUGGCUCCCCGCCCCCCGUCCCGCCGCACAGACGUGGCUGCUGGGGGGGGCCAGGGGGUGCGGUAUAAAGGGAGGGAGGCAGCGCGGGCGAGACCCGAGACGUGGCGCGUCCACUCUGAUGGCCUCGACUCCAGCCAUGUGGUUAAACUGCCCCCUCAGAGGAGAGUAGCAGGGAGGGCGCUGCUGGAUGCUGGAUGCUCCCAGAAGAGAUCCCGAUGCUGCUGUGGCUCGCAAGUGACCUUAAAAGGAACCCUUGCCAUGUGUGAGCCUUAGGAUGCAACGAGCUUGUAUUAAUAUCCUGAAAAACCUCAGCCCGGAAAGCGUGGUUCUGGAUGUUUACAUCUUAACUGGAUUUUCCUACCAGAGAGCCAGGGCACAUUACAGUCUUCAUCCUCAAGUAUUCUCUUUUCAGUCCUGUUUUUCUUCUUUUAUAUCCAUGGCAUCCAAGAAUUGACAAAAAAGUGCUAGAUCAUCUGAUCGACCCCAUCAGUUGUUUUCUUAACAUGGCCAGACAUAGGUAAAAAGAUAUGUCAUUUUAUGCCCCACUCAAAUUGCCUAGUCCUAUUUCUUGUUCAUGUAUUUUAAGUCUUUGGAAGACCCAUGGUUAUGGUUACAGGUGACACUGUGCUGCUCCCCAAGGUUUGGACAGAUGAAGAAUCACCAAGAGGGCUGAGUUCAGGGACUCAUCAGCUCUUCCCUGCAUCCCUUGAGCUCCACCAGAAACUCUUUAGGGUUUUUUUUUUUA